CAGUCGCCACGGUAAUACGUAGGUGGCAAGCGUUGUCCGGAAUUGUUGGGCGUAAAGGGCUCGCAGGCGGUUUCUUAAGUCUGAUGUGAAAGCCCCCGGCUCAACCGGGGAGGGUCAUUGGAAACUGGGAAACUUGAGCGCAGAAGAGGAGAGUGGAAUUCCACGUGUAGCGGUGAAAUGCGUAGAGAUGUGGAGGAACACCAGUGGCGAAGGCGACUCUCUGGUCUGUAACUGACGCUGAGGAGCGAAAGCGUGGGGAGCGAACAGGAUUAGAUACCCCCGUAGUCCCUGUCUCUUAUAC
rnacentral:rRNA from 1 species